rnacentral:rRNA from 1 species
UACGGAGGGGGCCAGCGUUGUUCGGAAUCAUUGGGCGUAAAGGGCGCCUAGGUGGCAGAGCAAGUCGGACGUGAAAGCCCUCGGCUCAACCGGGGAAUUGCAUCCGAAACUGCUCAGCUCGAGUCCUGGAGAGGGUAGCGGAAUUCCCAGUGUAGCGGUGAAAUGCGUAGAUACUGGGAGGAACACCGGUGGCGAAGGCGGCUACCUGGACAGGUACUGACACUGACGCGCGAAAGCGUGGGGAGCAAACAGG